UACGAAGGGUGCAAGCGUUACUCGGAAUUACUGGGCGUAAAGCGUGCGUAGGUGGUUCGUUAAGUCUGAUGUGAAAGCCCUGGGCUCAACCUGGGAAUGGCAUUGGAUACUGGCGACCUAGAGUGCGGUAGAGGGGUGUGGAAUUCCCGGUGUAGCGGUGAAAUGCGUAGAUAUCUGGAGGAACACCGGUGGCGAAGGCGGCAUCCUGGACCGGUAUUGACGCUGAGGCGCGAAAGCCAGGGGAGCAAACGGG
rnacentral:rRNA from 1 species